AUUUAAUCGACCUGUGUUGUAUUACACGAUGGGUGGUCAGGUCUUGGCUAUCGGUUUCCUUUGCUUAUGUUUAGGAUGUGUAGUUGUUUGUCAGUCAACGUGCUUUGACAGCGAGCCGGGGAAACAGCUAAACGCCACAUCCACCAAACAGUUCAUUACUUCACCAGGAUUUCCAAAUAACUAUACCAAUAAACUUGAAUGCUACUGGACAAUAUCGGACACAGAUGCUUGCG